rnacentral:rRNA from 1 species
UACGUAGGGUGCGAGCGUUGUCCGGAAUUACUGGGCGUAAAGAGCUCGUAGGCGGUUUGUCGCGUCGUCCGUGAAAACUUGGGGCUCAACCCCAAGCUUGCGGGCGAUACGGGCAGACGUUGAGUACUGCAGGGGAGACUGGAAUUCCUGGUGUAGCGGUGAAAUGCGCAGAUAUCAGGAGGAACACCGGUGGCGAAGGCGGGUCUCUGGGCAGUAACUGACGCUGAGGAGCGAAAGCGUGGGUAGCAAACAGG